GAAUGGCUCAUUAAAUCAGUUAUCGUUUAUUUGAUAGUACCUUACUACAUGGAUAACCGUGGUAAUUCUAGAGCUAAUACAUGCUAAAAAUCCCGACUUCGGAAGGGAUGUAUUUAUUAGAUUAAAAACCAAUGCCCUUCGGGGCUCUCUGGUGAUUCAUAAUAACUUCUCGAAUCGCACGGCCUUGCGCCGGCGAUGGUUCAUUCAAAUUUCUGCCCUAUCAACUUUCGACGGCUGGGUCUUGGCCAGCCAUGGUGACAACGGGUAACGGAGGGUUAGGGCUCGACCCCGGAGAAGGAGCCUGAGAAACGG
rnacentral:rRNA from 1 species